AAAGAAACUAACAAGGAUUCCCUCAGUAACGGCGAGUGAAGCGGGAAGAGCUCAAAUUUGAAAUCUCCGGUGCUUGCAUCGGCGAGUUGUAGUUGCGAGAAGCACUUUCUAGGUGGAUCGGCGGUGCCUAAGUUGCUUGGAACAGCACGUCGCAGAGGGUGACAACCCCGUCUGUGGCGCCGCCGGCCGCUGACGAUGUGCUUUCGAAGAGUCGGGUUGUUUGGGAAUGCAGCCCAAAAUGGGUGGUAAACUCCAUCUAAAGCUAAAUACUGGCGUGAGACCGAUAGCGAACAAGUACCGUGAGGGAAAGAUGAAAAGAACUUUGAAAAGAGAGUUAAAAAGUACGUGAAACCGUCGGAAGGGAAACGAAUGGACUCAGCAAUGCGCCCUCUGAGAUUCAGCCGGUGGGUGGGGUCGGCGCGGGGUUUGCGGAUCUGAAUGGACCGCGGCCUGGCGCUCGCUUCUCCCCGCCGUCGCACUUCUCUGGGGCGCGCGUCAACGUGGGUUGGGACUGGGUCUGAAAGGUACCGGGAAGGUAGGUGUGGGCCUUCGGGUCCGUUCUGUUACAGCCCGGUUCUCUCAUGGCUCGGGCCCGACCGAGGAGCGACAGGGCAUGCCUCCUGUGG
rnacentral:rRNA from 1 species